rnacentral:rRNA from 1 species
AAAGACUUGACGGUACUUCACAACACCCUAGAGGAGCCUGUCUAAUAACCGAUACCCCACGAUUAACCCCACCCGUUCUAGCCCACAGUCUAUAUACCGCCGUCGCCAGCUUACCUUGUGAAAGAAAUAGAGUGAGCAAAAUAAAUUACACGACAGGUCAAGGUGUAGCUAACGAACGGGCAAAGAUGGGCUACAUUUUCUAACACAGAAAACACGAAUAAACAUGAAAUCAAAACUGAAGGCGGAUUUAGCAGUAAGAUAAAAAUAGAAUGCUUA